CAGCCAAAUUUAUGUGAAGAGUUCAACUUGUAAAAUCUAUCAUUCAAGGCAUGUUAGUUUAUUCCUUUCAUAUUUAUGUGGCCUGCGUCUCUCUUACGUCAAUUGGAUGUGUGUACUCGUAAGUUUAUUUGAUAUUCAUACUUGGAAGGUUUGUACAGUUGCUUGGAAUUCAGUUUGCGCCCCUUUUGAUGUUGUAGGUUUGGGUACCAAGUCUUCGAAACAGCUUAAUAGGUUUGGGUACCAAGUCUAUGAAACAGUUUAAGAGGUUUGGCUAUCCCUCGUAGAACCUGCAACUGGAGAAAGAAGUUGCAAGUUGAGAAGUCUUGAAAUCUAGAACGAUUUGAUAUAAUGACAAAAAUGGAGAAUGGUUCCGGAUAGAUAAAUUUAACUUCUUCAAUACCAAUCGUUCUUUAUCAUUUUUAUUUUUGGGCUGUGAUUGUGAGACUAUGAAUUAAAUUUUGAACAUAUUUUUAAUAUUUCUUAUUUUGUCUUUAUCGCUGGUAUUCUGUUUCAGUUAGGUAUCAGAUUGUGGUGAUGUUUUGCGAAACUAGAUUCAUGAUAAUAAGUGCCUCUGGUUGAAUUGUGAAUACUGAAUGUACUGUAUCGUGUUUUGAAACAGUAGUUUUGGGUUAUUUCAAGCAAUAAGGUUUAUUUUGGUACACUCUUCUUGGGUAGUUCCGGGUAGUUUCAAGCAAAUCAGGUUACUUGGAUUGUAAAUUAACUUCAAUUUAAUUAUCCUCUGUUUAGUUUUAAUGUUUAUCGAUGGGCGGUGAGGGUUUGUGACGACUUAAUUUUGUGACGACUUAUAUAGUUUUACAUAAUCUUGUACUGUUUUGUUGUUUUUAUCGUUAUAUGUGAUUUGAGAUUUGUGCUUCUAAAAAGAUAUCCGUUUCAUUACUGUAUUAGGAGGAAUCCAAAAUUGUGUCAUAUGGGUACAUGUCGUUGCAAAGUGGGUACAUGUCGUUGCAAAGUGGAUACAAUUUGUUCCGGUGAAUGCUCAUCUUCUAUAGGCUUUAAUUUUGGUCAUCUCUUCUACGACGCUUUAUAUUUCAGCUAGUUUACUCAGUAUCUACUUCUGCAGUAGUUCUUUUGAGUUAUUUGUGUGGGUAUUACAGGGGAGAGGUUCACAUACUUUUCGUUCAGCCUAUAAAUGUGUGGUUUGCUGCGAAAUCGGUGGCAGGCAGAGGUUUACAUACAGGCAUCAUCCUGUGAACAAAUUAAUGAGUACACACAUGAACCGUCAUGUUUUGCUGGCUGUGUUAUAUAUUUUCAACUGUUGAUGGCCUUAAUUUGAUGAUCUGAACUUCGAUUUGAACAUUUUGGCAUCUCUUUACCCUCCACAAGGACGAGGAGUUCUGGACAGCUUGGUUUGGCACUUUUUUGUUAUGUGUGAUUUUCCACUUCUUUUGUUAUAAUUUUCUCUUUCUACUUUCCAGUCAUUUGUGAUAUAUAUUAAUAAGAGUUUUUCUCCUAAAUUAGAAGCAUAUUGGAGAACUAGAAUCUGCUGUACUUUCCUAAAUUGGUAUGCCUCACAAAUUGUGAAAUCACAAAACCGACCUGAUCACAAGAAACCAUCAUUUGGCUAAUCUUAUCAAAUAUCGGGACCAACCAGACCGACCUGGUCUUUUUUCUCCUCAAAGCUUGCAAUUGUAUCUAAGAUUUGACCAGCUGAUAGUUGCCGCUGAAUUUGAACUCUGGCAGGUUGGCAAUUUUCAUUUUUCUUUACAUAUUCAAGGUGUUUGUUUUACAUAUUCUAUCUGCAAUUUAUGUGCCUCCUUAUGAAAGCAAUUUAGAACUAGAGCAUGAAAAGGAGCAAAAUUUUAUGAUGGCGAAUCUCAUAUAUGCUCUAAUCUUGAAAAUAAGACUAAUUGCAGAACAAUGGUAUUUUACUUUCCCUCGUUUUAUAUUCCCGGUAGCAUAUAGAUAUUUGUUUUCCAAAUCUUACUAUCUGCUUUUGUUUAUGUUUUGUCUCUACUCAGCUCCCAAGGUCUUCACUUCUUGCUGAACUG